rnacentral:rRNA from 1 species
CGGACGGGUGAGUAACACGUAAGGAACCUACCGAUAAGCGGGGGACAACAUCCGGGAACGGGUGCUAAUACCGCAUAGGAAGUUUGUUCGCAUGAACAAACUUAGAAAGAUGGCUCUGCUAUCACUUAUCGAUGGCCUUGCGGUGCAUUAACUAGUUGGAGAGGUAACGGCUCACCAAGGUGAUGAUGCAUAGCCGACCUGAGAGGGUAAUCGGCCACAUUGGGACUGAGACACGGCCCAAACUCCUACGGGAGGCAGCAGGC